rnacentral:lncRNA from 1 species
AAGCAAACAUGAGGAACAAGAAUUCAGCCGCAAUAAUAGGGAGUGUCAAAUCGAAGUCGAAAAGCGCCGCCUUUUCGAAUUCUUCAGCCAAGGAGGGAGGUGCCUGUGAAAGUGAGAAGGAGGUGGCUGCAAGAAUUACAGAAAUGGACUUGAGGGAAGAAGCGGUCAGGGAGAGGAGUUGGUGGGGUUUUGGGAUACUGGGCAAGGCUAAUUUGGGGAGGACCUUGAUUCUUGUGGAGGAACAG